CACGAGGAGGGAGGAGACCUGCAGACACACGGCUGAGUGAGGGGAGCAUCCUGGACCACUUUAGACCUGACUAAGUCUGCGUCUCUGACCCCUCAGACCCACGUGUCCUGCUGCAGAGUUUGUCAUUUCAGUGAUUCUUUUACCUGCUGAAGGUUUCGCUGAUAGAUGGGCUUUAUUAUUUUUUAUUGAUCUGCUACAAUAUGAAGCUGCUUGAUAUUGUCACGACUCAAAGCUGCUUUGAUUAAUGAUCGAUCAACCCCAAAAACACUCUUCAGGCCUGUAACAUGAUGGACAUUUACUCUUUUAGUUUGCAGUGGGAAAGAUUUCAGCUGACACGGCUAACAUAUCACUUCAAACACAUCACAUAAAAGCUUUCAAACACGACCCUUUGAUGCAAAAUUAUGAAUGAAAAAACAUACAGUUGGUGGCAUCUGAAUCGCAAGAAACGUUGGUCUUGACACCGAGGAUUCGCAGUAGGAGUUUACUCACUUCGGGCUUUUUCUUGGUUGGUGUUCGAGUUUAUUUAGAAACUUGUUCAAGAAUUUUUUGGGAUUUCUGUCUUUGAUAAAGAGACUUUAGUUUGUGCAGACGCAGAGCCUCUAAACUGUUGCAUCAGUUCUUGUUAAUAAUUGUGAAACUUUGAUAAAAACUGUCAAUCUUGUUAAUUUAUCUUUUUGGUUCGUGUAUCUCAUGGAAACAUUUGUCUUUUCCCAACUCUGCUGAUAUCUUUCUCCCAUCACUGCAGGAAUGUGAUGCCUAGAUUCCAAAAUGCAUACAAAAAAAAAUGUAAAAAAUUUUGCACAAGGAUGCAUGAAAUAUAAUUUUUGACACUUAAAAUUGCACGUAGGAUAUUUUUGGUGUAAAAUUCUCAACAUGAUUAUUUCAGGUGGUUUUUAAGAAACUUACCUCGCUGGAAUAAAAACACAAAUUUGCAUUUUUUUUUUUAAUUAAAAAAAGAGACGAACUGGAAGAUAAAAUGACACACUGGUGCCUGUAAAAGCUGUUUGAUAUUUACUCCAAAAGCGGUCAUUAUCUCUGACUGUUCGUCCACACGAUCAAAAACAUCAUUAUGGUGUAAAAGACAGUCACCCGAGUUUGUUGGUGAUGCUGUUUUAACUCAGUUUAAGUGUGACUGAAAUCUGAUGCAGAAAAAUUGCAAUUUGGUGCAUAAAAAAAUGCAAGAACUUGAGUUUGUUGCUGAAAAUGUUGUGGUGCGAUUGAGCUGUUUUGAUACUACCCAGUAAUAUUCAUUUGUCCCCCUCUUCAGGGUCGAUAACGUCACAGAUUAUUCCCUCACUCUCCCGGGUUUGAUUUGCGUUACAGUUUUAUUUUAAAGGUCCACUUUCAGACUUUGACAUCUGACUCUGCUUUAAGUAACGGAGCUCAAACACUCCAACACUGACGCUGCAGACCUGUGGAAGAACGAUUUAAAUGUUUUUUGUCUCGUGGUUUUUAAUCCAUCACUGAAAGUUUCCCUUUUUUGCAGCUAUUGUAAGUUUAUUGAUCACCUCAUUUAUCGUGUCAGUAAAGCAGCAGUUAGAGGUCAUAAUCUCAACUUUAGGAAACAGGCAGAGUGAAACGUUCCACACCGUUCUGCUUUCCCUCACAUAUUCAUUAUUGAUCUUCUUAAUUUAGAUCCCUUUGAGGAAAUCAUGUCUGUGAAACACUUCUUAUUAAAUGAUCUGCAGUUUCCACCAGAUCCAGCAUUAGCGGGCAAAAAUAACCGCUCUGUUCAGUGUUUUUGUGACGUUCGUGAGUUUUGGAUAGAGUUAAUGUCGAGUUUAAAAAGAUCUCUCUGGAUUUAUUUUCGAGGUUCAGUCUCCCAGUUCUGGGAAUUUGUCUGCAGCCUUUCGGUGUUGCAUGAAAUCCUCCCGACAUGAAUUUAUCAGUCAUUUUUUAAGUGCACAGUUAUGGGGGCCAAUCUGACUUUUAGACCUCGAGUGAGGACAUGUUAAAACAGAAAAGAAGGUUGUAAAUGCAUGAGUGUCACUCCACAUGUAACUGUAGGUGUAUUCAGGGAUUUAUAAACAGCUGUGCUGCAGGUUGCAAAAGGUUUUCUGCAAGAUUACAAGAGAGGAGAUUUCCAAAACCGGUGAGAAACCAUGAGCGCAAUUUUGUUCUUUUGCAGUAAGAUAAAAAAAUAAAGAUGACAAAUUUCUGCUCCAUGUUUGACCCCUCAGAUAAUUUAUUUUGGAGUGAGAUCAUCUCAGAUCAGCAGAUUUUAUCUGUGUUUUUAGUGAUAAAACUUUCCUCUUGAAUUCUUUUUAGCUCCAGUUUCUAAAUAGAAAAUCUCCCAUGACUACGAGUGCUUCUGUUCAGUAUGAGCAAUCAGAUUUCUGAGUUUAUAACGUUUAGAGGUUAGGAUGCUUUUGGAAAGUUGAGGACAAAAACCAAACCUUAAGACUGAACUCAAGUUUUUGAGAAGAGAGUGCACUGAGUCAGUGAUGCCACUCGAAUAACAUAAAACCACAAACACAUGGUGUAAAUAUAUAUGACCCUUCUUUUAGGGAAAGGAGAUUUGCACGCAUACAGACUGCGUCAGAAAACAUCCAAAGCAAAAGAUCAAAUAUGAAAUGUUUCAGAAAUGCAAAAAGAAGUUCUGAAAUUUGUCUUCAACCUCAGUCAGGAGUAAAUGAAGACGCUUUCUUUCAUAUUAGUUAUUAUCUUUAGGAUUACAUUUCAUGAUCUAGUUUUUAAGUGAAAAUCAGACAAAUAUUGAUCUGUCUGAUAUUAGCUGGAACAGAAUAAAAGCACAUUAAGGUCGAAUAAAACGCUCCAGUUUAAACCCUGACAUUCAGAAAACAUCUUUAUUUCUCUGAUUUGAUCCUCUCUGCCCUCCUGGUUUGAAGUCUGCACCCGAGUGGGAAUUAGUCCGCUAAAACCAGCCGUGUUGUUUGCCGGCUUUUUGUUGGGAAUGACCCCCUCCAGCUUACUCCCGGACUAAUCCCCUUUCUCCCCCAACACAAAAACCUCCUCCUCCCUCCCUCCCCCUCCUCCUCUCCUCCUCUCAUUCAUCCCCAGCAGAAGGAAAUCAUUUAACACACACAUAUAUGCAGGUGUUUACUGCGGGGGUAAAGAGAGGGGUGAGGUUGGAGGACUCAGGAUGGAGGGGGGUGGGUUGAAGAAUUAGACAUUCACGGUACGGCUGAUACUCUUGUUGUGGGAUUUACCUUUGAGAUCUAGAUUAGCAAGGCCACGACCCGGAGCAGGGAGUGAGGAAAAGAAAGUUGUUGUUUUUUUCUGCUCGGCCUGAAAAUGUCAAAUUUAAAAAGUGUUUCAAGCAAAACAGGAAUUUUUCAGACAGUGCAAAGCUGAAGAAUUUUCAGACAUGCAGAGGGGUACUUUGUUAGAAUCAAGGCAAAGAUCCUUCUGAAAGGAGCCUUUUUUAUCUCCAAAAGUGCAUUUUCCACACAGGUAAAUAUCAGACUAGAUGAUGAAACUGAGAUUUGUCUUUUAAAAAUAUCUGACAUCUGUCAAACAUUGCAAAGAAAACACUGACAAAUCAAAAGAACAACUAGAUUAAUGAUCAUAAUGAACAGAAUCUCUUGAAUCCGCUGUUUUUGCCUUGAUUGGUGUAAAUUUUCUGCCUUUUAAUAAACAAAAAUUUAAAUACAAAUGUAGUGCAACUCCUCACACAGUAAGUCUAGAAGUAUUUGUCAGAGCUGACAUGUUUUUACACCCUCCAAACAAAAAUAUUAGCUCUCCAAAUUAACCCUCAACCAACAAGUGUUUAUCCACCGGCACAAACUUGUUUUCGCUCCUGCGCACAAAAGGCUAACUCGACAGAAUUCUUACAAUUAUAGAUAUUAGAAUAAACUUUAUAGCCAUAAAAAAUUAAAAAUGAAACUUUCAGAAAAACGAUCUUUCAGAGCGGAUUUUGCACAUUAGAUGAGCUCAUUUUAAAUAACUCUUUAAUGUGCGCAAUUACGCAUCACAAUGUCCAGCACGAUUCAACAACAAUAAUAAUAAUAAAAAAACGGACAAAUACAUUGUGAAUUUGGCGUUUUUUGACGCACAAUUGCGCACGACAGGAUUUCAUAGUUAUGUUUUCAACCCUAUAAUCCCCCCUCCAUUAUUAUUAUUGUCAUAAUUUUGGUGUUAUUUGCAGAUUUAAAGCAGCUUAGACAUUUAA